CCUACGGGAGGCAGCAGUGGGGAAUUUUGGACAAUGGGCGCAAGCCUGAUCCAGCAAUGCCGCGUGCAGGAUGAAGGCCUUCGGGUUGUAAACUGCUUUUGUACGGAGCGAAAAGGUUCCCUCUAAUACAGGGGGCUCAUGACGGUACCGUAAGAAUAAGCACCGGCUAACUACGUGCCAGCAGCCGCGGUAAUACGUAGGGUGCGAGCGUUAAUCGGAAUUACUGGGCGUAAAGCGUGCGCAGGCGGUUCUAUAAGACAGUUGUGAAAUCCCCGGGCUCAACCUGGGAAUUGCAUCUGUGACUGUAGAGCUAGAGUACGGCAGAGGGGGAUGGAAUUCCGCGUGUAGCAGUGAAAUGCGUAGAUAUGCGGAGGAACACCGAUGGCGAAGGCAAUCCCCUGGGCCUGUACUGACGCUCAUGCACGAAAGCGUGGGGAGCAAACAGGAUUAGAUACCCUGGUAGUCCACGCCCUAAACGAUGUCGAACUGGUUGUUGGGAAUUUACUUCUCAGUAACGAAGCUAACGCGUGAAGUUGACCGCCUGGGGNGAGCGCGAGUAGAGACGAGAGUAGAGCGNGAGAGNGACGAGGACGACGACGAGGGAGGAGG
rnacentral:rRNA from 1 species